GCACGGACCUUUCGGGGUUAGUGGCGGACGGGUGAGUAACGCGUAGGGAUCUGUCCAUGGGUGGGGGAUAACACUGGGAAACUGGUGCUAAUACCGCAUGACACCUGAGGGUCAAAGGCGCGAGUCGCCUGUGGAGGAACCUGCGUUCGAUUAGCUAGUUGGUGAGGUAAAGGCCUACCAAGGCGAUGAUCGAUAGCUGGUCUGAGAGGAUGAUCAGCCACACUGGGACUGAGACACGGCCCAGACUCCUACGGGAGGCAGCAGUGGGGAAUAUUGGACAAUGGGGGCAACCCUGAUCCAGCCAUGCCGCGUGUGUGAAGAACGUCUUCGGAUUGUAAAGCACUUUCGACGGGGACGAUGAUGACAGUACCCGUAGAAGAAGCCCCUGCUAACUUCAUGCCAACAGCCGCGGUCAUACGAUGGGGGACUAGCGUUGCUCGGAAUGACUGGACGUAACGUGCGCGUAAGCGGUUGUUACAAUCACAUGUGAAAUUCCUGGGCUUAACCUGGGGGCUGCAUUUGAUACUUGAAGAAUACCAGUGUGAGAGAGGGUUGUUGCAGUUCCCCGUGUAUUGCUGAAAAUUUAAAUAUUGGGGACGAACA
rnacentral:rRNA from 1 species